GAUGAACGCUAGCGGCAGGCUUAAUACGUGCAAGUCGAGGGACAGCACAGGUAGCAAUACUGGGUGGUAACCGGCAAACGGGUGCGGAACACGUACACAACCUUCCUUUAAGUGGGGGAUAGCCCAGAGAAAUUUGGAUUAAUACCCCGUAAUAUAGUUGAAUGGCAUCAUUUGAUUAUUAUAGCUACGGCGCUUAAUGAUGGGUGUGCGGCUGAUUAGAUAGUUGGCGGGGUAACGGCCCACCAAGUCUACGAUCAGUAGCUGAUGUGAGAGAAUGGUCAGCCACAAGGGCACUGAGGCACGGGCCCGACUCCUACGGGAGGCAGCAGUAAGGAAUAUUGGUCGAUGGACGCAAGUCUGAACCAGCCAUGCCGCGUGAAGGAUUAAGGUCCUCUGGAUUGUAAACUUCUUUUAUUUGGGACGAAAAAGGGCCUUUCUAGGUCAACUGACGGUACCAGAUGAAUAAGCACCGGCUAACUCCGUGCCAGCAGCCGCGGUAACAC
rnacentral:rRNA from 1 species